rnacentral:rRNA from 1 species
CGGACAAUAUACAAGGUGCUGCAUGGUUGUCGUCAGCUCGUGCCGUGAGGUGUCGGGUUAAGUCCCAUAACGAGCGCAACCCCUACUGCUAGUUGCCAGCGGGUCAUGCCGGGGACUCUAGCGGAACUGGCCAGCGUAAGGCUGGCGAGGAAGGUGGGGAUGACGUCAAAUCAGCACGGCCCUUACGUCCAGGGCUACACACGUGUUACAAUGGCCGGUACAGAGGGCAGCCACCCCGCGAGGGGGCGCGAAUACCCGAAAGCCGGUCCCAGUUCGGAUCGGAGUCUGCAACCCGACUCCGUGAAGCUGGAUUCGCUAGUAAUCGCGCAUCAGCCACGGCGCGGUGAAUACGUUCCCGGGCCUU